rnacentral:antisense_RNA from 1 species
UUCUUUGGGCGGGCCUUGGCAGGGGAGCCUUCGCGCUCGCCGGCUCUCUGCUCUCUCCCGGUCUGCUAACCCUGCCUUGCGCCCGCCCACCCCU